rnacentral:lncRNA from 1 species
AAUAAAAUACGGGAUAGAAAAGCAGAAAGCAAAAUCACAACAUAACACUUAAACAUAAUUCAACAGAAUUACAAACAGGGGUUUACGGCCAAUAGUCUACAAAAGACUGGCUCUUAAAAAGAGGUUAUCCUACGACCUACAAGUCGUACACGAUCUCCAAUCCUUAUAACUUCACCUCUCCAACUCCUUAAGGCCAACCAAAGCUAUAUGGCCGCUCCGUCCACCAGGGACCUGAAAUGGUUAUUCAAUAACCACUGAGACAACGUCUCAGCAAGUUCAACCCCCUAAACCCCUAUUAGAAAGAAAAUACGCCCAAGGGUGGCCUAGCCACAUCACACAGAAGACUUACCUCGCCUCAGUUCCUUCCUGCAGGUUAGCGCAAUUCAAAUCACUCAAUCACAGAUAGUAAGAGGAACUUAAACAACCGGAACGUAUUCACUUUCAUAUAUCCAACAACCGCGGGGAUCCUGAUUAUAAGACUAAAUCGUUAUGACACGUCUCAUUCCAUGCCACACAAUUCCGUCCCAUAAUCUGACACAUCAACAACACUCAACAUGCAUUCCAAUUGUUAUUCACUGCCACACAAGGGCAUAGCCUACUCGCAGUUCGGCUAUCUACUGACAUAUAGCCAGGCAUCGCCUCCCCCCCAUGGAGCGCGGCUUCGUCAUUACGUCGACGGCAUUCCCGAAGGAGCAUCGUCUCCCCUCUUGGAGCACGGCUUCGUCACUACGUUGACGGCAUUCCCGAAGGAGCAUCGAUCCAGUCGGCCCAGCCUCUACUGCAACCGGCAUCCACCGCGUGGGCAUCCCAUAUAGGGGCAAGUCCGGCUCAACAGCCCAGGACGAUUCCUCUUAGUUAUCACAUAGUCAAAGCAUACUCGGCCCCAGGACACUUUAUAUUUCACUCAAUGCUUCCAUUUAAAAUAGUGAUCCCGGCCAUUUUUCUUCAUAUUAAAAAUAUUCCAUAAAUUACUCACGUGUGUGGGGACACGCUAAUUUCGAAUCAAGAAGCCAAUAUCUCACUUUUUCAAACCCCACUAUUUCAUAUAAUCAUUAAAAUCCAAUUUUUGCAUCAAAGUCCCACAUUUGGGUUUUUUAGAAUAAAAUCUCUAUUUAUCACAAUCAACACUCAAUUUGCCACAAUCAAUCAUCAAAUUCAAAUUCUAAAUACAUAGCAGCGAUCGGCACGAAAUUCUGAGAGUAUAAGGUCCCGACGAAAUUUUCAAAUUUUAAUAAAUAAUUAAAUUUAUUCCGAAAAUUAAUUAAAUAAUAAUAUUCAUAUUUUUCGCAAUCCACAUUCAAUUUAUAAUAUCCGACCAUCAAUUCCAAAAUCCGAAUACACAGUAGCGACCGGCACGAAAUUCUGAGCAACCGGGGUCAAAAAUAAUUUUUCCGUUUUUUUUUAAAUAAAUAAUAAUAUUUUAAUAAUUUCGGAUUAUAAUAUAAUAUUAUAAUUUCCAGAAUUUCGAAGCAAUUAAAUAAUUCAAAAUUAAAAUCCUAUUAUGUCACAUCAAGGCUUUAUAUUAAAAAUAAACAUACUUAACUUUAAACUAAACACACUUUAACUUAAUUAAACACCAUAAUCUAAUCAUCAACCAAAUAAAUUUAACCAUCUAAGCUUACUUAACUUAGACUAAGCACACUUAGGGCAUCAUUAACUGUCUAAUCAAGAUUUAGUGAGUUAAACUCACCGGAUUAGCGUGCCGAGCGGACCAAAACGACGGGGACGCCGAGGAGAACAACUUUCCUCAAAGCGGGCUGAGCAUCCGGGCUCGGGAAGCCGGCCAAAACGGGCCAAACAUGGGCUGCCAUACCCAUUUUCUUGGCUGCUGCUUAGGGCCGAAGGAGGGCAGAUCCGAGCUUAAUCGGGCGGAGGAACGACGGAGGAAGGAGGUGGUAGCUCGGGUAGUGGCUCACGGCGGCUAGGCGGGGCCUCCGGCGGCCUUAGCGACGACGAACGGGCGGCUGGACGGUCGGACGACAACGCUGGAGGGUCCUUGUCACGCGAGUAGCGGCUGAGCAGAGGCGGAAAUUGGCUAGCUGGGCGGUCGUGCAGGCGAGCGAGCGCGGACGGGCGACAACUCCGGCGACGGCAACGAGCGGCAGUGACUUCAGACGAAGUUUUUCUGGUUCGCUGGUUUGUUGGGCUUUCGAAGAAGGAUAAGAUGAAGAUGGAGAUGCGAGCGGGUAGGGCGAGCGGCAAGGCACACGGGCGGCGCGGGGGCAGACGCGCGGCGGCGGCGGCGACGGCAAGCUCCGGCAACGGGCAUGCGGGCGCGAGCUCGGCUAGCUUCCGUCGGGCUGCUGCACGCACGAGCUGCUCCCUUCCUUCCCCCCUCUCU